GUCACGUGGCCUGAGGGUCACGUGACCUCGAGGGGUGGGGGCGGAAAAUAUUUUCCGCUAAAUCUAGCGGGAAAAAAUUUCCGCUAGAUUUAGCGGGGAAAAUUGUCCGCUAAAUUUAGUGGGGAAAAUUUUCCGCUAGAUUUAGCGGGGAAAAUUUUCCGCUAGAUUUAGCGGGGAAAAUUUUCCGCUAGAUUUAGCGGGGAAAAUUUCCCGCUAGAUUUAGCGGGAAAAUUUUUCCGCUAAGUUUAGCGGGAAAAAUUUU
rnacentral:SRP_RNA from 1 species